ACAAGACGGUGGAGCAUGUGGUUUAAUUCGAAGCAACGCGAAGAACCUUACCAGAUCUUGACAUCCAAUUGACCAUCUUUUAAUCGAGAUUUUGCCUUCGGUACGAAUUGAGACAGGUGGUGCAUGGUUGUCGUCAGCUCGUGUCGUGAGAUGUUGGGUUAAGUCCCGCAACGAGCGCAGCCUUGUGUUUAGUUGCAAACAGGUCAAGCUGUGCACUCUAGACAGACUGCCGUGGACAACACGGAGGAAGGUGGGGAUGACGUCAAAUCAUCAUGCCCCUUAUGAUCUGGGCUACACACGUGCUACAAUGGCCGGUACAACGGGCAGCGAAGGAGCGAUCCGGAGCGAAUCCUAAAAAGCCGGUCCCAGUUCGGAUUGCAGGCUGAAACUCGCCUACAUGAAGUUGGAGUUGCUAGUAAUCGCGAAUCAGAAUGUCGCGGUGAAUGCGUUCCCGGGUCUU
rnacentral:rRNA from 1 species